rnacentral:rRNA from 1 species
GCGGUGGAGCAUGUGGUUUAAUUUCGAAGCAACGCGAAGAACCUUACCUGGCCUUGACAUGCUGAGAACUUUCCAGAGAUGGAUUGGUGCCUUCGGGAACUCAGACACAGGUGCUGCAUGGCUGUCGUCAGCUCGUGUCGUGAGAUGUUGGGUUAAGUCCCGCAACGAGCGCAACCCUUGUCAUUAGUUGCUACAUUCAGUUGGGCACUCUAAUGAGACUGCCGGUGACAAACCGGAGGAAGGUGGGGAUGACGUCAAGUCCUCAUGGCCCUUAUAGGUGGGGCUACACACGUCAUACAAUGGCUGGUACAAAGGGUUGCCAACCCGCGAGGGGGAGCCAAUCCCAUAAAGCCAGUCGUAGUCCGGAUCGUAGUCUGCAACUCGACUACGUGAAGUCGGAAUCGCUAGUAAUCGUGGAUCAGAAUGUCACGGUGAAUACGUUCCCGGGUCUU